rnacentral:rRNA from 1 species
AUUGAACGCUGGCGGCAUGCCUUACACAUGCAAGUCGAACGGCAGCACGGACUUCGGUCUGGUGGCGAGUGGCGAACGGGUGAGUAAUAUAUCGGAACAUACCUUGUAGUGGGGGAUAACUAUCCGAAAGGAUAGCUAAUACCGCAUACGCUCUAAGGAGGAAAGCGGGGGAUCGUAAGACCUCGUGCUAUAAGAGUGGCCGAUAUCUGAUUAGCUAGUUGGUGAGGUAAAGGCUCACCAAGGCGACAAUCAGUAGCUGGUCUGAGAGGACGACCAGCCACACUGGAACUGAGACACGGUCCAGACUCCUACGGGAGGCAGCAGUGGGGAAUUUUGGACAAUGGGGGCAACCCUGAUCCAGCAAUGCCGCGUGAGUGAAGAAGGCCUUCGGGUUGUAAAGCUCUUUUGUUAGGGAAGAAACGGUUGUGGCUAAUAUCCAUGGCUAAUGACGGUACCCGAAGAAUAAGCACCGGCUAACUACGUGCCAGCAGCCGCCGUAAUAC